rnacentral:rRNA from 1 species
GAUGAACGCUGGCGGCGUGCCUAAUACAUGCCAGUCGAGCGAACAGACGAGGAGCUUGCUCCUCUGACGUUAGCGGCGGACGGGUGAGUAACACGUGGAUAACCUACCUAUAAGACUGGGAUAACUUCGGGAAACCGGAGCUAAUACCGGAUAAUAUAUUGAACCGCAUGGUUCAAUAGUGAAAGACGGUUUUGCUGUCACUUAUAGAUGGAUCCGCGCCGCAUUAGCUAGUUGGUAAGGUAACGGCUUACCAAGGCAACGAUGCGUAGCCGACCUGAGAGGGUGAUCGGCGACACUGGAACUGAGACACGGUCCAGACUCCUACGGGAGGCAGCAGUAGGGAAUCUUCCGCAAUGGGCGAAAGCUUGACGGAGCAACGCCGCGUGAGUGAUGAAGGUCUUCGGAUCGUAAAACUCUGUUAUUAGGGAAGAACAAAUGUGUAAGUAACUAUGCACGUCUUGACGGUACCUAAUCAGAAAGCCACGGCUAACUACGUG